UAUAAAUACCAGACUCUGCAUAAACUUUAAAAAAAUAUAGCGAAUCUAAAUCAUCUUCAUAGUUUCGUUAGUCUAGAGUUCCCCUAUUGCCACUUCAUAUUAUAAAUUUAACUAUGUCUUCCUGUACCAACUGUGACUGCUUUGACAAGGCCAACUGCACCACUGAGGAGACUAUUGUGAUGGAGGUUCCUGCAGCUGAAAAUAAUGGCAACUGCAAGUGUGGUGCUAACUGCAGCUGCACCAACUGCACAUGUGGUCACUAGAAUAUGAUGAUGUAACCGGAACUCACUGGUGUCCAGUAUGCGAUAGCUAAUGUUAGUCUAUGGUUCAAUAAAACUGUCACACAUAUGUGGCUAUGGUCCAUAACUAUAUAAAUAUACUUACUGUUGUAACGUA